rnacentral:piRNA from 1 species
UAUUUGGUCAAAGGCGUUUCCUUCUGGAGC